CAUUUUUUAGAGAUAGAAAUUCCCUUCGGGGCUUUCUGCAAGGUGCUGCAUGGUUGUCGUCAGCUCGUGCCGUGAGGUGUCGGUUAAGUCCCAUAACGAGCGCAACCCUUAUCCGUUAGUUGCCAUCUGGUAAUGCAGGGACUCUAGCGAAACUGCCACCGUAAGGUGAGAGGAAGGUGGGAUGACGUCAAAUCAGCACGGCCCUUAUGUCCAGGGCUACACACGUGUUACAAUGGUCGGUACAGAGGGCAGCUACCUGGUGACAGGAUGCUAAUCUCGAAAACCGGUCUCAGUUCGGAUCGAAGUCUGCAACUCGACUUCGUGAAGCUGGAUUCGCUAGUAAUCGCGCAUCAGCUAUGGCGCGGUGAAUACGUUCCCGGGCCCU
rnacentral:rRNA from 1 species